UGGGGAAUUUUGGACAAUGGGCGAAAGCCUGAUCCAGCAAUGCCGCGUGUGUGAAGAAGGCCUUCGGGUUGUAAAGCACUUUUGUCCGGAAAGAAAUCCUUGGCUCUAAUACAGUCGGGGGAUGACGGUACCGGAAGAAUAAGCACCGGCUAACUACGUGCCAGCAGCCGCGGUAAUACGUAGGGUGCAAGCGUUAAUCGGAAUUACUGGGCGUAAAGCGUGCGCAGGCGGUUUGCUAAGACCGAUGUGAAAUCCCCGGGCCCAACCUGGGAACUGCAUUGGUGACUGGCAGGCUAGAGUAUGGCAGAGGGGGGCUAGAAUUCCACGUGUAGCAGUGAAAUGCGUAGAGAUGUGGAGGAAUACCGAUGGCGAAGGCAGCCCCCUGGGCCAAUACUGACGCUCAUGCACGAAAGCGUGGGGAGCAAACAGGAUUAGAUACCCUGGUAGUCCACGCCCUAAACGAUGUCAACUAGGUUGUUGGGGAUUCAUUUCCUUAGUAACGUAGCUAACGCGUGAAGUUGACCGCCUGGGGAGUACGGUCGCAA
rnacentral:rRNA from 1 species